UACGAGUGGCCCAAGCGUUAUCCGGAAUUAUUGGGCGUAAAGCGCACGUAGGCGGUUCGUUAAGUCGGAUGUGAAAGCCCUCGGCUCAACUGAGGAAGUGCACCCGAAACUGGCGAGCUUGAGUACGAAAGAGGAUCGCGGAAUUCCCGGUGUAGAGGUGAAAUUCGUAGAUAUCGGGAGGAACACCGGUGGCGAAGGCGGCGAUCUGGGUCGAUACUGACGCUGAGGUGCGAAAGCGUGGGGAGCAAACAGG
rnacentral:rRNA from 1 species